rnacentral:rRNA from 1 species
CCGGCACGGGUGAGUAACACGUAUCCAACCUGCCGUCUACUCUUGGCCAGCCUUCUGAAGGAAGAUUAAUCCAGGAUGGCAUCAUGAGUUCACAUGUCCGCAUGAUUAAAGGUAUUUUCCGGUAGACGAUGGGGAUGCGUUCCAUUAGAUAGUAGGCGGGGUAACGGCCCACCUAGUCAACGAUGGGUAGGGGUUCUGAGAGGAAGGUCCCCCACAUUGGAACUGAGACACGGUCCAA